rnacentral:rRNA from 1 species
AUUGAACGCUGGCGGCAUGCCUUACACAUGCAAGUCGAACGGCAGCACGGGAGCAAUCCUGGUGGCGAGUGGCGAACGGGUGAGUAAUAUAUCGGAACGUGCCCAGUCGUGGGGGAUAACGUAGCGAAAGCUACGCUAAUACCGCAUACGAUCUAUGGAUGAAAGCGGGGGAUCGCAAGACCUCGCGCGAUUGGAGCGGCCGAUAUCAGAUUAGGUAGUUGGUGAGGUAAAGGCUCACCAAGGCGACGAUCCGUAACUGGUCUGAGAGGAUGAUCAGUCACACUGGAACUGAGACACGGUCCAGACUCCUACGGGAGGCAGCAGUGGGGAAUAUUGGACAAUGGGCGAAAGCCUGAUCCAGCCAUGCCGCGUGUGUGAAGAAGGUCUUCGGAUUGUAAAGCACCUUAAGUUGGGAGGAAGGGUAGUAACCUAAUACGUUGCUACUUUGACGUUACCGACAGAAUAAGCACCGGCUAACUUCGUG